rnacentral:tRNA from 1 species
GGAGAGAUGGCUCAGCGGUUAAGAGCACUGACUCCUCUUCCAGAGGUCCUGAGUUCAAUUCCCAGCAACCACA